rnacentral:misc_RNA from 1 species
GUGAAUCAUCAAAUUUUUGAACGCAUAUUGCACUCUCUGGUAUUCCGGAGAGUAUGCCUAUUUGAGGGUCAUUUGAAAUAAUAUUCAUUCCAAGUUUUUUCGUAAUUUAAAAUGGGCUGUCUAUUUUUUGUGGUCGCUUAGAAUACAAGACCAGCUCAUUUUCGUGGGUUGUGUGAUACUUUCAGUUUGAUCGUGAGUUAACCAGCGAUCAUUGGGCGUGUUAUGAAUUUUGCUAGAGAUAAAACAUUCUAUAGAUUUAUCUCAUGCGAAAUAGAAAUCG